GCCAGUCUGCCAUAAAACCAUGCAAAAUCCCAAAUUUCGUCCAAAUUGGUAGUUACAACUUGCCAAAAUUAUAUAUAUUUCCAAAAACUUUAGGUAUUCAGGAGUUAAGAUAAAAAAAAUUUUUUUGUUAAUUUGCGCUAUUUUGCAUUAAACCGCCUAAUUUGCAUAUUAGUGAAUUAUUUUAAAAAAUGGCUAAAAAAUACACCUUAUUUAGGCACUUUUUAAGGGUCUGGAUAAUUGAUAUAGCUCUUAAAUGAAAUAUUAUUUUUAUCAUAUUUUAAAGGAACAUUAGUUAAUAACCAAAAAAAUAGCUUUUUUGAGAAUUUCUGACCUUUUGGCAGGUUGCCAGAAAGUUCGUGCAACAGAUGUAAUAAACAACUUGUAUAUACUACAUGUACUCAAUAGCAGUUUUCUCUUAAGAUCAUAUUUUUUAUUCUUAACUUUUAUAAUAUUUUGAAAGGUGUAUAUCAGUUCUAAGACAGGUAAAAAAAUUUAGCUUGGCAAAUAAUGGAAAAGUGAUCAAAAAUACUCUUAAAAUAACCAUAAAAUGCAAUAAUUCUAAUAGUUUUUGUUUCUAGUUAUUUAACUAAAAUUACUUAAAGUAGGUGGUAACUGGGCUAAAAUUGAUUUAUUUUAUGUUGAAAAAUAUUUCUGGCCAAAUGUGUGGUUUUUUUCUUGUUAAUUUGCAAAAUUUAACAUUAAGUUACCCAAAGGUAGCCUCAAUGUUAUUUUUGUGUUAAAUUGUCUCCCUUAGUGGAAAUCUUUCACUGGCAAUAUGGCAGCUUCCAGUGAAAAGCAGACGUCUCUGUUCGGUCCGAUUUUUCUCAUCUUGGAGGUUGUUGUGAACAAUCAAAUCACUAUGCAACUCAUCUGUUAGACAAGGUUUAUCUUUGUACAAAGGACACAACCACCACCUUGAAUUUAUCCACAGCACUGAGGCCAGUGAGGGCAGUGAGGCCUGUUUAUCAACCUUUCCACAUGUUCCAGGAGGACUAUUUUAUAAAUACACAUAAGUGACAUUGUUUUCUGUUGAUCGUGCUGCUAUAAAAUUGUCAAUAUGUCCAUGCCGAUGGCACAGAGACUUUUUUGGUAUAUAUUGGCGGGACUAUUCAACAAAGUGUGGAUUCAAAGAUCGUCUUGCUGACAUUGAGGCAAAACUCCAAAAGGUGAAAAGCUGAUAGUGAUGGAGGAACCGCACUAACCCUAUCAUAGGAAUACUGACUUUUGUAAUGACAACUAAUUCCAAAAGUGUCAGGUCUCUGCAAGCAAUGUUUUACCAAGAUUAGACAAACAGUAGCUGAUGGAGGAAUCAUAGUUGAUACAAAAAAGAUUAUGAUGGAGAUGAAAGCCAAAUUAAAGAUGCUCAGGUUCUCAUAGUAUAUUCACAGCAUCAAUUAAUUUUUCAUAAUAUUUAGCAUCAGAUUGGGAAACAGAUAACAUUUCUGACCAGGAGAGGAUUGCAUUUCCUUUGAAAUGGAAAGUAUCCACCAUUUAGGAACCAAUUGAAUCUGGCAUGGGAUGAUGUAUCAAAAAGUACAAUGGCUUUUUCUACAAAAUUAUCAUCAGAAAUUAUUGAUUUGAUUUUGAAUUAUAUUGUACCUGCACAAUACAAGUCGAUAAAGUGUUCUGAUUUGUAGUAGAAAAAUGGAAAACAGACGAAACACAGUCAAUUGUACAAAAGGAUGUUUUGAAUGAAGCUCUUAUUGAUGCAUACUUACUAACUUAGACCUAAAUAGUCAUCCGACCUGGCUUCAGAUCUUAUCACUGUUUGCAUGUAUUCAGACCGUUUUGCAUGUUUCUCUUUAUGGCAGACUUCGCUAAUAUUAUAUGACAGUAAAAUUAUAAGCAAACACCCUGAAUAAUUAUAUAACCAUUUUAAUGAAAAUGUCUGCACCACAGUUGAACCAUUUAUCUGUAUAUUUGUUUUUAUUCAUGUAGGUAUAAAAUAAAUUUUAUUUCCAUUUGAAA